AUUGAACGCUGGCGGCAUGCCUUACACAUGCAAGUCGAACGGUAACAGGUCUUCGGAUGCUGACGAGUGGCGAACGGGUGAGUAAUACAUCGGAACGUGCCCAGUCGUGGGGGAUAACGAAGCGAAAGCUUUGCUAAUACCGCAUACGAUCUACGGAUGAAAGCGGGGGAUCGCAAGACCUCGCGCGAUUGGAGCGGCCGAUGGCAGAUUAGGUAGUUGGUGGGGUAAAGGCUUACCAAGCCUACGAUCUGUAGCUGGUCUGAGAGGACGACCAGCCACACUGGGACUGAGACACGGCCCAGACUCCUACGGGAGGCAGCAGUGGGGAAUUUUGGACAAUGGGCGCAAGCCUGAUCCAGCAAUGCCGCGUGCAGGAUGAAGGCCUUCGGGUUGUAAACUGCUUUUGUACGGAACGAAAAGCUCUGGGUUAAUACCCUGGAGUCAUGACGGUACCGUAAGAAUAAGCACCGGCUAACUACGUGCCAGCCGCCGCAGUAA
rnacentral:rRNA from 1 species